rnacentral:rRNA from 1 species
CGUGUAGGCGGCCCAGCAAGUCGGAUGUGAAAGCCCUGGGCUUAACCUAGGAAGUGCAUUCGAAACUGCUGGGCUUGAGUUCUGGAGAGGAAGGCGGAAUUCUCGGUGUAGAGGUGAAAUUCGUAGAUAUCGAGAGGAACACCGGUGGCGAAGGCGGCCUUCUGGACAGUGACUGACGCUGAGACGCGAAAGCGUGGGGAGCAAACA